rnacentral:lncRNA from 1 species
UCACGAGAAGCGAAACGACCACACACUAAAAAACAAGGACAAGUACACGCAUCUACAGAGCCAGAUCCAAUCUUUGCACGUGGGCUCACGCGUGCAAAAUGAAUAUUAGAGAAAGUUGAAAAAAAGCAGAUAACAACACACAAAAGAAAAAGAGAUACCCCGCCCCCACAUCAAUGGGAUGAUAUAUCCAAAGUCCAAACCAUAAACUCUCUGUCGGUGUCUUCAACACCAUGAUACCCCUGGUCAAACAGUUAUUAUACUGUCCACUCAUCUUCUGCCACAUGUCCAUGUCAGCCAAGAUAAUGCAGUCAACUCUUUGACCACGUCAAUCACUGGAAUAUUACAUUAAUAUCCCUCACAUUCACCAUCACAUGCGUAGAUUGAAUGACAUGAAACUGUUCUAACU